rnacentral:rRNA from 1 species
AGUGAACGCUGGCGGUAGGCCUAACACAUGCAAGUCGAACGGCAGCACAGUAAGAGCUUGCUCUUACGGGUGGCGAGUGGCGGACGGGUGAGGAAUACAUCGGAAUCUACUUUUUCGUGGGGGAUAACGUAGGGAAACUUACGCUAAUACCGCAUACGACCUACGGGUGAAAGCAGGGGAUCUUCGCACCUUGCGCGAUUGAAUGAGCCGAUGUCGGAUUAGCUAGUUGGCGGGGUAAAGGCCCACCAAGGCGACGAUCCGUAGCUGGGCUGAGAGGAUGAUCAGCCAAACUGGAACUGAGACACGGUCCUGACUCCGACGGGAGUCAGCAGUGGGGAAAAUUGGACAAUGGGCGAAAGCCUGAUCCAGCCAUACAGCGUGGGUGAAGAAGGCCUUCGGGUUGUAAAGCCCUUUUGUUGGGAAAGAAAAGCAGCAGGUUAAUACCCCGCUGUUCUGACGGUACCCAAAGAAUAAGCACCGGCUAACUUCGU